UUCAGAGGUUUGCACAACUUCUGUCAGACUUUCAGUGGAAUUCCAAGGUCCCUGCCAGCCUGUGCCAGGUCUGUCUGUGGCUCCCUCGCAGCACACACCUAUGGUUUGCAACUCAGUGAGGUCAUGCACACCCUCGCUCAGUUCUAAGGUCUGGAUCAGGAAAGGCUUCUCCCACUUUUCUUCUCCAGGUGUCUCAUACCCCUUAAUGGUGCCCUUAACCCUGCCACAACUCUGAAAAUAGCUCCUUCAUUAAAGUUUCUUCAUUUUAACAUC